rnacentral:rRNA from 1 species
UGGGGAAUAUUGGACAAUGGGGGCAACCCUGAUCCAGCAAUGCCGCGUGUGUGAAGAAGGUCUUCGGAUCGUAAAGCACUUUCGACAGGGACGAUGAUGACGGUACCUGUAGAAGAAGCCCCGGCUAACUUCGUGCCAGCAGCCGCGGUAAUACGAAGGGGGCUAGCGUUGCUCGGAAUUACUGGGCGUAAAGGGCGCGUAGGCGGCUUGACCAGUCAGGCGUGAAAUUCCUGGGCUUAACCUGGGGACUGCGCUUGAUACUGUUAGGCUUGAGGCCGAGAGAGGGUGGUGGAAUUCCCAGUGUAGAGGUGAAAUUCGUAGAUAUUGGGAAGAACACCGGUGGCGAAGGCGACCACCUGGCUCGGUACUGACGCUGAGGCGCGACAGCGUGGGGAGCAAACAGG